CAAAAAUAAAGCAAGAAAUUAUGAUCGGUGAACAUAACCAAAGAUGACAAAAAUGAAUGUAAAUACUCCAUUCCGUUGACAACCAUAAAAUCCAUUCGUUCUUCAGCCAAGCUUAGUAAUCUCUGUAGUAAAACACAGCAUAUACCUAGGUCAUCAAGGAUGAAUAUGGAGGUUCGAGCUUCCACAUACAGAUAAAAGAACAAACCUGGCAUUUUUUCUGACAACCCAAGGGAGCGACAUAAAUCAGGUGUUUGGCGACGACGAGAGACCAUUGGUAUUAGCCUUGAUAAUUCUUCCUCAUUAAAGUCAGAAGCAAUAGAAAACGUUGCCAGAAGUUGCAGGAAAGCAUGAGCCUCUAAGGAGUUCCCAUUGCUAUCAUCCACAUCAAGGGUAUCCAACUUUGGUUUCCACUCUUCGGCAAUUGCCUUUGCCUGCUCCUUU
rnacentral:lncRNA from 1 species